AUUGAACGCUGGCGGCAUGCCUUACACAUGCAAGUCGAACGGCAGCACGGGAGCUUGCUCCUGGUGGCGAGUGGCGAACGGGUGAGUAAUACAUCGGAACGUACCCUGAAGUGGGGGAUAGCGUAGCGAAAGUUACGCUAAUACCGCAUAUUCUGUGAGCAGGAAAGAGGGGGAUCGCAAGACCUCUUGCUUUAGGAGCGGCCGAUGUCGGAUUAGCUAGUUGGUGAGGUAAAGGCUCACCAAGGCGACGAUCCGUAGCGGGUCUGAGAGGAUGAUCCGCCACACUGGGACUGAGACACGGCCCAGACUCCUACGGGAGGCAGCAGUGGGGAAUUUUGGACAAUGGGCGCAAGCCUGAUCCAGCCAUGCCGCGUGAGUGAAGAAGGCCUCGGUUGUAAGC
rnacentral:rRNA from 1 species